rnacentral:rRNA from 1 species
AUUGAACGCUGGCGGCAGGCCUAACACAUGCAAGUCGAACGAGUGGCGGACGGGUGAGUAAUGUCUGGGAAACUGCCUGAUGGAGGGGGAUAACUACUGGAAACGGUAGCUAAUACCGCAUACCAUCGGAUGUGCCCAGAUGGGAUUAGCUAGUAGGUGGGGUAACGGCUCACCUAGGCGACGAUCCCUAGCUGGUCUGAUAGGAUGACCAGCCACCUUGGAAAUGAGACACGGUCCAGACGCCGACGGGAGGCAGCAGUGGGGAAUAUUGCACAAUGGGCGCAAGCCUGAUGCAGCCAUGCCGCGUGUAUGAAGAAGGCCUUCGGGUUGGAAAGUACUUUCAGCGGGGAGGCGUUACCCGCAGAAGACGCACCGGCUAACUCCGUGCCAGCCGCCGCGGUAAUUC